rnacentral:rRNA from 1 species
GACGAACGCUGGCGGCGUGCUUAACACAUGCAAGUCGAACGGAAAGGCCCUGCUUUUGUGGGGUGCUCGAGUGGCGAACGGGUGAGUAACACGUGAGUAACCUGCCCUUGACUUUGGGAUAACUUCAGGAAACUGGGGCUAAUACCGGAUAGGAGCUCCUGCUGCAUGGUGGGGGUUGGAAAGUUUCGGCGGUUGGGGAUGGACUCGCGGCUUAUCAGCUUGUUGGUGGGGUAGUGGCUUACCAAGGCUUUGACGGGUAGCCGGCCUGAGAGGGUGACCGGCCACAUUGGGACUGAGAUACGGCCCAGACUCCUACGGGAGGCAGCAGUGGGGAAUAUUGCACAAUGGGCGGAAGCCUGAUGCAGCAACGCCGCGUGCGGGAUGACGGCCUUCGGGUUGUAAACCGCUUUCGCCUGUGACGAAGCGUGAGUGACGGUAAUGGGUAAAGAAGCACCGGCUAACUACGUGCCAGCAGCCGCGGUGAUACGUAGGGUGCGAGCGUUGUCCGGAUUUAUUGGGCGUAAAGGGCUCGUAGGUGGUUGAUCGCGUCGGAAGUGUAAUCUUGGGGCUUAACCCUGAGCGUGCUUUCGAUACGGGUUGACUUGAGGAAGGUAGGGGAGAAUGGAAUUCCUGGUGGAGCGGUGGAAUGCGCAGAUAUCAGGAGGAACACCAGUGGCGAAGGCGGUUCUCUGGGCCUUUCCUGACGCUGAGGAGCGAAAGCGUGGGGAGCGAACAGGCUUAGAUACCCUGGUAGUCCACGCUGUAAACGGUGGGUACUAGGUGUGGGGUCCAUUCCACGGGUUCCGUGCCGUAGCUAACGCUUUAAGUACCCCGCCUGGGGAGUACGGCCGCAAGGCUGAAACUCAAAGGAAUUGACGGGGCCCCGCACAAGCGGCGGAGCAUGCGGAUUAAUUCGAUGCAACGCGUAGAACCUUACCUGGGUUUGACAUGGAUCGGGAGUGCUCAGAGAUGGGUGUGCCUCUUUUGGGGUCGGUUCACAGGUGGUGCAUGGCUGUCGUCAGCUCGUGUCGUGAGAUGUUGGGUUAAGUCCCGCAACGAGCGCAACCCUUGUUCACUGUUGCCAGCACGUUAUGGUGGGGACUCAGUGGAGACCGCCGGGGUCAACUCGGAGGAAGGUGGGGAUGACGUCAAGUCAUCAUGCCCCUUAUGUCCAGGGCUUCACGCAUGCUACAAUGGCUGGUACAGAGAGUGGCGAGCCUGUGAGGGUGAGCGAAUCUCGGAAAGCCGGUCUCAGUUCGGAUUGGGGUCUGCAACUCGACCUCAUGAAGUCGGAGUCGCUAGUAAUCGCAGAUCAGCAACGCUGCGGUGAAUACGUUCCCGGG